CCUACGGGUGGCAGCAGUGGGGAAUCUUGCGCAAUGGGGGCAACCCUGACGCAGCGACGCCGCGUGAGUGAUGAAGGCCUUCGGGUUGUAAAGCUCUGUGAGGCGAGUUGCGGUAUCCCUUUAGCAAGCACCGGCUAACUCUGUGCCAGCAGCCGCGGUAAGACAGAGGGUGCAAACGUUGUUCGGAAUUACUGGGCGUAAAGCGCGUGUAGGCUGCUCCGCAUGUCAGGUGUGAAAGCCCUGGGCUCAACCUAGGAAGUGCACUUGAAACGGCGGAGCUUGAGUGUUGGAGAGGGAAGCGGAAUUCUCGGUGUAGAGGUGAAAUUCGUAGAUAUCGAGAGGAACACCGGUGGCGAAGGCGGCUUCCUGGCACUACUGACGCUGAGACGCGAAAGCGUGGGGAGCAAACAGGAUUAGAUACCCCAGUAGUC
rnacentral:rRNA from 1 species